AGAAACCUUUCUUGACAAUCUUAGGGGUGUUGAGAGUACGCCACACGACUUACACCUGUAGCUGAAUAGUGAUGGGGCUUUGACUUCCUAUGGAACUGUGACCCUCCACAGUCUAGCAAAUCAAGGUGACCAUUGCUCGAUUGUACUGAGUCGAUCGGGGGUCCUUCCGUCCUUUUUAAAUAUGGUUGCUGGUGACUCUUUUCGGGAUAUCAGCUUCCGUGGAAGUUUUCUCAUUAAAGUAAUUGGUAAGUUGACUUCGAGCUACUCAUGGCUGAGCAGAAUCCCAGUUUAGACUGCCAGUUCCGGUUAUGUGAUUGCAAAGUUCCAGCUCGCCAACGGGUGACGACUCUUGGUUUGAGAAUUCGACGUAUUUUCCUAGAGUGCCAAGAACGGGAGGUAUGCCCUUGUUCUUUUCCUCCUUCUUUUCUCGAUUUUAGACAUCUCUCAUUGAUAAAUCCUUGUUUCUCUUGUACCUUUAUAGCAUGGCGAAUGCUGUAACUACUGUGACUGGGUGGAGCUCCGGGAUGGAGUGAGGAUUGACGAGGGCUCUUAAAUCCGGUACGCUUGUCGAAGCGCAGAUAAUCAACGUUAUGGCUCGGAGUGUGAAGCUUGCUACGGUAGUCGACGAGCUUAACAAGAGGAUAGACAACAUUGUCUGAGCCGUGAGGUUUGUGACCCUUCACACAGCUUCAACAUCACGGCAUCCUCGAUCGUCCUGAGACUGGCCUGAUGCCCCCAAGAAUUCGCAUAUAUGCUCCGGCUAUGGAUUGUUUAUGGUUUAACUGGUCAUAUGAAUCAUAGUAACCUGCAUAAUCUCCAAGGAAGCAGCCAACCUCCUCCAAGAAGUAUCCCCAUGAAAGUUGAUGGAUUUGGAUCCAAAAGGGGACACGAUCCAGCUCUACCAGCUUUGGAUCCUCACCCUCCUUGAGUUUGUGCUAGAUCAGUAAGCGUCAGUUGUAGUGCCAAGAAAUGAGCCAACGAGACACGGUGGAUAUGCAUGUGGAGGAGGAGCGGGAACUAGUUCCGUUAGCGAUGAUUCCUCGUCGUUGCUUUCUCCAAGAUUCAAAUUUUGUACCUGGAGCAUGACGAGCGCACUUGAUUCAUCAUUCGAAAGCUCCUGCCUUGCAAUCGGUUGUGGUGUUGGAACUUUACUUGGCUUCGUCGUAGGAGCAACUCCGCGAGCCACCGUCGACAGAGACGAUUCAUUUAGCUCGAGGCCUGCGGCAGUCUCCGCCGAUUGGGAGGUUCCUGAUGCAGCCAACUCCUACUUUUAAAGAAAAUCAUACCAAAAGUUUU
rnacentral:lncRNA from 1 species